rnacentral:rRNA from 1 species
CUACAGGGGUAUCUAAUCCUGUUUGCUCCCCACGCUUUCGCGUCUCAGCGUCAGUAUCCGUCCAGAUGGCCGCCUUCGCCACCGGUGUUCCUCCCCAUAUCUACGAAUUUCACCUCUACUUGGGGAAUUCCGCCAUCCUCUCCGGUACUCGAGCCAUGCAGUUUCGGGCGCACUUCCUCAGUUAAGCUGAGGGCUUUCACACCCGACUUGCAAAGCCGCCUACACGCGCUUUACGCCCAAUAAUUCCGAACAACGCUUGCACCCUCUGUAUUACCGCGGCUGCUGGCAC